AUUGAACGCUGGCGGCAGGCUUAACACAUGCAAGUCGAGCGAGCGGCGGACGGGUGAGUAAUGUCUGGGAAACUGCCUGAUGGAGGGGGAUAACUACUGGCAACGGUAGCUAAUACCGCAUCCCAUCAGAUGUGCCCAUAUGGCAUUAGCUAGUAGGUGGGGUAAUGGCUCACCUAGGCGACGAUCCCUAGCUGGUCUGAGAGGAUGACCAGCCACAUUGGCACUGAGACACGGUCCAGACUCCUACGGGAGGCAGCCGUGGGGAAUAUUGCAUCAUGGGCGAAAGCCUGAUGCAGCCAUGCCGCGUGUGUGAAGAAGGCCUUCGGGUUGUAAAGCACUGUCAGCGAGGAGGCGUUACUCGCAGAAGAAGCAACGGCUAACUCCGGGCCAGCAGCCGCGGUAAUUC
rnacentral:rRNA from 1 species